CAGACCUGGAAAUCGAGAUUCUGAAACAAAAGCUAAAGUGGUGGUGGAUAUCAUGAUUAAUUAGCCUUACUAAUAUGUUCUGCAUCCCCGAUAUUAUACAAAAAACUACCAUUUGGAAAGAAACGUAAGGCAACGCAAAGGAUCUGCUCGGAUGUAAGCGCAUGGCCAUGAUGGCUGAUGUUUCUGAUGGUCACGGAAAAAGAAGAAAACUAUACUAGAAGCCACAGUCGAAUGCUUUGCAAAGGUCCUGUCUGAUAAUCUCUCCAAAGAAUGGCAACUUGCCAUGCAGAUGCAAGCAGCCCAGAAUGAACAUGAGGCUAGAAUGUUUGGGAUCAUAGUUUAAGCAAUAACAAGUGCACACCAUGGGCCAGCCAUGCCACCUCAUGGUAGCAUGUACAUGCCAUUUCCGACACAACAGCCACAUUUGCAUCCUAGCCAGGUGGUCCACACUCGUUCACCUGGACACCGGGCUCACCUCUAAAGGUACAGUUAACUGUUUUGCAACCCUACAAUUUAACUGGUAAAUAAAAUUGUUCCCAAUAGGUUCUAUAAUAUUGUACUUAAAAAGGUACAACAUUUUAAUGUGUUGUUCAACAUUACCCAUAAAGAUACAAAAGGGUACUUUUGAGGGUAUUUUACCACAAAGAAAACAGGACAAUUUAGUGCCUUUUUUUCUGACAGUGUACAGAUAAUGUUUUUAAUACUGUACAAUCUGUAUAUUGUAUUGCCUAACCUUAACCUCACAGAAACAGUUUACAAUUUUUACAGGACAUUACACACAUUUCCUACACUUAAUAACGCUUUCAAAAAUAAGAAUGAUAGGUUACUCACUGUGCCUGGAAAUCCACAAGGGCUUGCAAGAUUAAGAAAUGAUGUCCUUUGCGGUUGAAAUAGUCUUUGGCAUAGCUUUAUGCCUCGUUUAUCGGAAUGUGCUACUCGUCGAUGGCACCUACACAUUGAGGGAAACCCCAUAUUCGCUCAAAGCCAUCCCUGAUGUCCAGGAGCCUCUGGCCUGAGGGUAGAUGUAUGUCAUUCUGCAUGCAGGACAUAUCGCGCUGCAUAUACCUCCCACAAGCAAAUGCAUACUGAAGGCUCAGUCCAAACAGGUAUGAGAUCGUGUUAUAUCCGCUGCCGGUAGCAAGAUACCACAAAGCUAUGGCAAUGCGCUUAUCGACAGAUAUAGCCUGGCAGAGAUGAGUUUCCCUUUUAUUAACCUGCUUUGCAGGCUUGACACAAAGAUAAUUGAAUGUUCAGUGUCUCAUUCUAAAACUGGAGACCCAGUCUUGCUCCAUAAAAGAAGCGAGCACUAUGUUUUCCCACCAGUGCUGGCUCCGAUCUUUCAGGUGUCUUGUUGGGUCUUAAAAUGCACUGCUGCCGCCAUAGAAAAUGCAGCAAACAGACAUUAAUAAAAUACAUUAAUAAAAUUACGAUAUUAAUAUGUAGCCCUCUCUCCAAUAAAUGUGGCUCAAAUGUGAGAAUUAAGUCUAGGGAAAUUUACAAAUCAACAAUAACCUGGAGAGAGACACAUUUCUAAAUUAUACUAUUCCUAUUAAUCACGACACCCAGAUCUCAGAUAUUCACUUGAUGUUUGUGUUUACCUGCAAAUUGGAAAUGACAAAUAUUCAAAGAAAGAAAAAUGAACUCAACAAAUGUAUUUAUUUGUUUUCCUCAGAACUAUUUUGUCUCUGUGUAUUUUUUUUCUUUUUGUGUGUUCCUUUAAAUAAUCAAAUAAUUAAAUUUGCACAGUCACUCACCACAACAGUAGAUCUCAAAAACGUAACCCCAAAAGAAAUGAAGAAAGAAAAAAAACAAUUGUCACUGUACUCUCAAAUUUUACCCAGCUGGGAUUUUCAAUACACAGAUACCGCGCUAGUUGGAGCUCUUUUUAUGCAAGGCCGAUGUACUCACGAAACAGAGGAAAAUUGAAAUUCCAAUUUCAGGAUGACCACCUCCAAUUCUCACAUUCAGACGAGAUGAUAAACAGCAUCCGGGACAUUUUCCAUGACAACGAUGAAAGGAACCGCGAUGAACUCCUCCCUCCUUGAACGGGUUUGAUGCAUCCGCGAGAUUCAACACAGAACUCCCGAUUUUGACUUGUCGAAUUCAAUUUCUUAAGCACACUAAGCACGCAUUUGACAAACUCCACACACCACUGCAGUACCUUUGAACUGAAUUAUUAAAUUAAACACGGGUAUAAUCUUCCGGUUUACGAACGAAAUAUAGCUAGAAACUGUAACACUGAACUGAAAAAAAAACAAACACGGGAAUAUUCUUCCGAAAAAUUUGUAGAUCUGAAUCUAACAAAACAAAUAAAUAUAUGAGAGUAUCUCACGUGCAGAUCCUCGUGCUAGCUUUCUUCCAUAGCUCUGACUCACGAGUUGAAAUGCACGCAGCCUGUCGCCGAAAUCUCUCAAACUCCAAAAGUUACACCCACAACUCUUCACAGAUAAACUGUCACUCAGAAUGUCCGUGAGCCUUGACUAAUAUCAGUUUUUCUCCAAACCGACCAAUUUUCCAUGUCAAACUCAACUUUUUUCCCCGCGCAAUAUCCUCACUUCCCGUGUUAACAAAAACUGCACACCCCCGUGUCCGUUUUCCUCUAACCCCUCCCCUUGAACUUGAGAGGUCAAAAUCCACAUCUCUCAUAGGACAGAAAAGAAAUGAUGUUUUCAGAAAACGCAAUAAUCCAGUUUUUUUUCAAUAUCUUACAUACACACACAUUUGAAAAUUCCUUUAGAAAUAUGACUUAGAAAAAUAAAUAAAUAAAUAAAAUAAAUAAAAACAUUUGUCAGCGUAUGUGUGCCUUAUGUCAGACCCAAAACACACACACAAAAUAAAACAGUUAAAGAUUCAGAAAUCCAAAGAUUUCGUCAGGGUUCUACAUUCUCCCCCCACCAAGAAUCGUUAUGUCCUCAUAACGAGGGAAAAGCA